GCAGCACUUCGCGUGGGGAUUAGUGGCGAACGGGUGAGUAACACGUGGGCAAUCUGCCCUGCACUCUGGGACAAGCCCUGGAAACGGGGUCUAAUACCGGAUACUGAUCAUCUUGGGCAUCCAAGGUGUUCGAAAGCUCCGGCGGUGCAGGAUGAGCCCGCGGCCUAUCAGCUUGUUGGUGAGGUAAUGGCUCACCAAGGCGACGACGGUAAGCCGGCCUGAGAGGGCGACCGGCCACACUGGGACUGAGACACGGCCCAGACUCCUACGGGAGGCAGCAGUGGGGAAUAUUGCACAAUGGGCGAAAGCCUGAUGCAGCGACGCCGCGUGAGGGAUGACGGCCUUCGGGUUGUAAACCUCUUUCAGCAGGGAAGAAGCGAAAGUGACGGUACCUGCAGAAGAAGCGCCGGCUAACUACGUGCCAGCAGCCGCGGUAAUACGUAGGGCGCGAGCGUUGUCCGGAAUUAUUGGGCGUAAAGAGCUCGUAGGCGGCUUGUCACGUCGGUUGUGAAAGCCCGGGGCUUAACCCCGGGUCUGCAGUCGAUACGGGCAGGCUAGAGUUCGGUAGGGGAGAUCGGAAUUCCUGGUGUAGCGGUGAAAUGCGCAGAUAUCAGGAGGAACACCGGUGGCGAAGGCGGAUCUCUGGGCCGAUACUGACGCUGAGGAGCGAAAGCGUGGGGAGCGAACAGGAUUAGAUACCCUGGUAGUCCACGCCGUAAACGGUGGGCACUAGGUGUGGGCAACAUUCCACGUUGUCCGUGCCGCAGCUAACGCAUUAAGUGCCCCGCCUGGGGAGUACGGCCGCAAGGCUAAAACUCAAAGGAAUUGA
rnacentral:rRNA from 1 species